rnacentral:misc_RNA from 1 species
GUCAUCCUCUAGUGUCCAGAAAGAAGAAUCCGUCUUCACAGGGCAAGUAAGCUCGUGAUUGAGAUAAGGAGGAUUCCCCUUGAUGCCAACCUCGACAUGCCUAGACUGAAUCUUGCAGUAGAAUUGCUUGGAAUGAACAUUUGGAGGCAAAUUAAUAUAAAUGUUAACCUCCUCCAGAGUCUGAUCCCAUUCAAACACUUUCUGACCGUUGUGAAGGAAGCUAUGGCGCUUUUCUGGAGCCAAUUUCUCUG